rnacentral:ncRNA from 1 species
AAUCAAGCGAUGAACGGGUAUAAAGGUUUACAAAUCCUGCUUUCAGAGAGUUGCCGGCUGGUGCGAGGCAAUAGAGGUUGUACGCUGACACUCUCCCGUGAGCUUCGGUGGCGAACGUCAGUAGUCAUCGACGGUGGUUCCGUUAUACCCGAAACGAGUCCCAAUUAGGGUGGUACCGUGUUAUGAAUAUAACGCCCCUUUG